rnacentral:lncRNA from 1 species
UGAUUUCUUCAGUUUUUUAGGCUUUGUUCUUUGAGUCACUGCUGACUUGCAUGUUAGGACUUCUAAAGAAAGCUGCAUCUUACCUUGGGAACACAGGUGGAAUGGAGAGAUACUCUCUAGAGAAAAAGGUGUGUUAUCAUUUGAAAUGAAGGAGGGAGGCAUCUUGGGUCCAGUUCCUAAUCAGGAAUCACCAUGGAAACAGGAGCUACCCCCUUAUACCUUUCUUGUGAGGAAGUGAGGAAGCAAGAACCCCACAGGUGAAGUCCCUACAUAGGAAGGAGUCGUCACCCAUAAUUCUGUCUAACUCCUCCCAUCACUGUCAUCCAGCUGCUUCACUGUGUCUGCUGUGCAGGAAAAGCAGGAAUCCCAGAAGCAGGUGGUGGGAAGGACAGAGAUGGAAGGAUUGUUUCUGGAGUACCUGCCUGCAAUAACCAGUUAUUUCUGCAGAGCAAGUAUUCAGUUUUUCUUCUGCUUGGACAAGGAGGAAAAGCAAGGUCUGUCAAAAAGAGCCUUUAGAGUGUACAGGACAGACACCAAGUUCAGGAGUUAUUUUUAUUCCUUCAGAUCUCCUAGAAAUGUCUUGCUUUUGGCAGUUCACAUACAAGUGGAGACAACUCUGCGAAGUAUUGCCACUAGUGACUUCGCCCUUCUCAGUGAGCUGGAGAAGGAAGAAGACCGGAUGGGCUCAGUCUCACCUCCUGUCUCAAUAUGUGUCCUGUGUGCUGGAAACAUCCCACCUCAAGGUCCAUCUAUGAUUAGAAGGGAAUUGUCCAGACACAUAAAAGGAAUGUUCCUUCGGGCUGCAAAGAAGUUUAGGAUAUUGAAAACCUAUAGAAAUGGAGACAGCAUAAGCUCUUUGGGCAGUCUGUAGAGACACUAAAGUUAAAAUGCUUUAUGGAGAUGAAGAAAAAUCUGUUGCAAAACAAGGAAAGGUUUGGGUGAAAUAUGUCUUGAAUAAAGUUUAUUGGCAAAGAAAAUCUUAUAUUUUC